rnacentral:rRNA from 1 species
GAUUUUCCUUGUAAGAGAGGUGAAGGGGGUGAAGAAUUGAAGUGCUAGGGGGUAGCAGUAGUUUUUUGUUCCUGGCCUGUUGAUUUUCCUGGGAUUUCCCCAAUUGCCUAAGCGGGUGAAGAAUUGAAGCUGCUGUUGUUCCUUCUUGCUUUUCUCUAGGCGAGAUCUCUGCUGCUGUUAUGUAGGAGGGGUUGGAGAGUUCCCAAGAGGCCUGCGUUUCUGUGGGUAGCAAGUUGAUGGCCAGCUGUUUGCUGUAGUCCAGCGAGGCUGCCGAGCAGCGAGGUUUGGUGGUGAUGCCGGUUUAGUUGAAACCGGGUCAGGGUUUUGCCCGACUCGUUUAACCCGAAAUGAGAAAAUAAACAGUGGCCGGUGGGGGAUGGGGGUUUGGGACAAGGGCAUGUGUCAUCUGUUCAUUGGUUGGGGAAUUUGAAUGUCG